GACGAACGCUGGCGGCGUGCUUAACACAUGCAAGUCGAACGGAAAGGCCCUGCUUUUGUGGGGUGCUCGAGUGGCGAACGGGUGAGUAACACGUGAGUAACCUGCCCUUGACUUUGGGAUAACUUCAGGAAACUGGGGCUAAUACCGGAUAGGAGCUCCUGCUGCAUGGGGGGGGUUGGAAAGUUUCGGCGGUUGGGGAUGGACUCGCGGCUUAUCAGCUUGUUGGUGUGGUAGUGACUUACCAAGGCUUUGACGGGUAGCCGGCCUGGGAGGGUGACCGGCCACAUUGGGACUGAGAUACGGCCCAGACUCCUGCGGGAGGCAGCAGUGGGGAAUAUUGCACAAUGGGCGGGAGCCUGAUGCAGCAACGCCGCGUGCGGGAUGACGGCCUUCGGGUUGUAAACCGCUUUCGCCUGUGACGAAGCGUGAGUGACGGUAAUGGGUAAAGAAGCACCGGCUAACUACGUG
rnacentral:rRNA from 1 species